GUAGGUGGCAAGCGUUGUCCGGAAUUAUUGGGCGUAAAGCGCGCGCAGGCGGUUCUUUAAGUCUGAUGUGAAAGCCCACGGCUCAACCGUGGAGGGUCAUUGGAAACUGGAGAACUUGAGUACAGAAGAGGAAAGCGGAAUUCCACGUGUAGCGGUGAAAUGCGUAGAGAUGUGGAGGAACACCAGUGGCGAAGGCGGCUUUCUGGUCUGUAACUGACGCUGAGGCGCGAAAGCGUGGGGGAGCAAACAGGAUUAGAUACCCGUGGUAGUCCACGCCGUAAACGAUGAGUGCUAAGUGGUUAGGGGGUUUCCCGCCCCUUAGUGCUGCAGCUAACGCAUUAAGCACUCCGCCUGGGAGUACGGCCGCAAGGCUG
rnacentral:rRNA from 1 species